AUUGAACGCUGGCGGCAUGCCUUACACAUGCAAGUCGAACGGCAGCAUGAUCUAGCUUGCUAGAUUGAUGGCGAGUGGCGAACGGGUGAGUAAUACAUCGGAACGUGCCCUGUAGUGGGGGAUAACUAGUCGAAAGAUUAGCUAAUACCGCAUACGACCUGAGGGUGAAAGUGGGGGACCGCAAGGCCUCAUGCUAUAGGAGCGGCCGAUGUCUGAUUAGCUAAUUGGUGAGGUAAAGGCUCACCAAGGCGACGAUCAGUAGCUGGUCUGAGAGGACGAUCAGCCACACUGGGACUGAGACACGGCCCAGACUCCUACGGGAGGCAGCAGUGGGGAAUUUUGGACAAUGGGCGAAAGCCUGAUCCAGCAAUGCCGCGUGUGUGAAGAAGGCCUUCGGGUUGUAAAGCACUUUUGUCCGGAAAGAAAUGGCUCUGGUUAAUACCUGGGGUCGAUGACGGUACCGGAAGAAUAAGGACCGGCUAACUACGUG
rnacentral:rRNA from 1 species